GGGCGUAAAGAGCUCGUAGGCGGCUUGCUGCGUCUGCUGUGAAAUCCCGGGGCUCAACCCCGGGCGUGCAGUGGAUACUGGCCGGCUGGAGGCAGGCAGGGGAGAACGGAAUUCCCGGUGUAGCGGUGAAAUGCGCAGAUAUCGGGAGGAACACCGGUGGCGAAGGCGGUUCUCUGGGCCUGUUCUGACGCUGAGGAGCGAAAGCGUGGGGAGCGAACAGGAUUAGAUACCCUGGUAGUCCACGCCGUAAACGUUGGGCGCUAGGUGUGGGUCCCUUCCACGGGGUCUGUGCCGCAGCUAACGCAUUAAGCGCCCCGCCUGGGGAGUACGGCCGCAAGGCUAAAACUC
rnacentral:rRNA from 1 species